GAAUCGAACCCCCAACAAUGGAGAAUUCUCUUACUGCCUUUUCUUGUUAACUAUAGUUCUUCACUUUUAACCCUUUGUCCCAUUAGUAAUGUGACAGAGAAAGACUGAACCUCGGAGAAAACCCUGUCAUGGAGCUCCUUGCUGACUCUCUUACUAUCUUUCCCAGUAAACUAGAGUUGUUCAAUUUUAAAUUUUAACCCUUUGUCCCAUUAUAGCACAACAGAAAAAGUACCAUGGGUUUCAAGUGCUCUCCUUAGCCUUAUUUGGAGCUUCAAUCCAAGAGGGACCGAGAUUGUGGGUGUGCUAGGCCGCUGCAACAAUUAAGGGUCAACAAAGAAAGUGUUUUCUUACUCGAUGUGGUUUGUAUGAGCUAGUAGAGCUCAUCUUAGUAGCUUCAUAUGUGUGAGGGAUCUGUACAACCCUCAAAGCUUAACUAGUGCUGUCUUAUUAUAAUUUGUGAACUAUUUUAAUUAAUGUAUGAUUAAGCCUAUGUCCCCAAAAAAAAAAAAAAGGUUGAACCUUGUUAAUUUUGACCAUCAUAAUACUUGUAAAUAAAUUUGAUAUGAAUUUAUGAUGUUUUUAUUUUUUUAAAAAACUGUAUCCUGUUUGGGAAAUUGAUGAUUAAAGUUCAUUUAAUUUCAAUACAGUUCCUCAAAAAAAAAAAAAAAAAAAAAAAUUUCAAUACAGAAUUCUUUGCCAAAAUAUACUGAUAUAACAGUCUUUCCCAUGUCUUCUGAUGCCACAGAGAUCACUGAAGUUAAACAACAAAAGCACAAGGUUAUUCAGAGUUUCAGACAAACAGAUGUUCUAUCACUCUUAUAUGUGUACAUUCUAGCUUACAUCUGCUUCUGUGCUGUUAUUAGAGUUUUGAACUGCACUCAGUGAUGUAUGGGUUAAUGUGGAUGAGAAAAACAAGAAGAAAGGUAUUCAGGACUUCAGGUUAUGUAAGCAAUGCACCUUACCCUUGGUUCAGUAAAGCCUCAUUCUAAAAUGAAGUUAUGAAAUUGUACUUAACCAAAAUUUGGUUCAAUUUGUGUUUUUUUAUUUUUUAUUUAUUUAUUUUUAUCGUCUUUAUUAUCAGCCUAAACAAUACUUAAUGCCAGAGUAGUAAAUAAGAACCACAGAAUAAUUUUACAACAAUGAGAGUACAUGUCCAUUUCCUAUUGCUGUUGACACUCAUUGUUCAAUGUGAAUAUUGAUGUCUAAUGCGUAUCAAUUUCUUGAUCUAAUGUCGCCUUUCGUGUUCAAUAAGGGAAGGUCACAAUGUGAAACAACUAAUGCCAACUCUAUUCAUAAUCUUCUUAAGAUGUAAUCUUUGUCUGGUGGCUCACAUCACAUUAGCUGUUGCAAACUUGCAAUAUAUUGCAUCGGCUUCUGAUGUUGCAAAUUAUCUUCCUUCUUCUUCAGUUGAAUGAUGCAGAGUCCCUGUAAUUGAUCUUCUGAUAAAGCAAGCCAAACAUGAAAAAUAUGAAGAAAAAAAAAUUAAAAAAUUAAGCUGCUGAUAUUCAUCUCUGCACUUUACUGUAAUGUCUUUGCUUUACCUACUUCUGAGUUAGCUGAAUGCUAGAUACUUCACCAAGCCUUGAUAUUCAAUCCGAAUACUUUCAAAAAAUAUAAGUCUUAUCAGAUGAACCCGGGAGUUCCCCCAAACGCUUCAGUAGGACUAAAGCAAUUUUCACCUAAUGAAGUGCUCAGAGGAACUCUAGGGAACACCUGAUGUGUUCAACUGCCAAUGCUUGAUGCAUGAGAUUUUGUUGGUCUUGCUAUUUAUAGCAACUUGUUUGAUAUUUUGGUCAGUAAAAUUUAUAUUCUUAUUUGAUGAUACAUAUAGAACCUAGCCGUUUUCCUGGGCCAAGUUAGACAUACAUGAGCAGAACAAUAGAACAGUAUUGAGUGGUCAAUAUGCUUUUUAUUUUUGAUUUUUUUUUUUUUUUUGGGUUUUGGUUUUGUUCUACGUUUUAUGCUUAACUUGAUUCAUGUUUUUUUAUAGUUCUGUCUUUAGUUUAAUUAUACAUGCUUAUAUGACACGCCUUUAUCUUUCUGUUUUUCUAAAAAAACGCGACUCUUUAUAAUAUUUUUCUUUUUUGACAGGGACUCUUAAUAAAUUUUUUUGUUGCAUUCUUUUUUCUAUAAUUUGUUGAACAAUGUGCUUGUGAUUUAAAAGUUGUGCGGUUAAUUUUCCUUAUAAGUACUCUCCAUUAUGUUAAUCUAUGACUUUGGUACGUUUUUUUCCUUGUUUGUGAGUGCAAUAUCUUUCUUACUUGUAUAAUCAACAUAAUAGCAGAAAAGUGACAUUCAGUACAUUUGUGAACAUUUUCAAAGCCAAUAAUGCCUUUAAUAAAUUCCAUAUUGUUUUGUCUUUCAUUAAUGCCUUUCUUAUUUAAGAAGUUGCUGCAAUAUUAGUAUCACUUGGUAUAUAUUGUUACCACUUCUGUACCGGAAAUACUAGCCUAAAUUGCAGUUUUUCUAUAGGGAAUAAUUUUUCUAAUCAGAAGCUUUGAC